UACGUAGGGGGCAAGCGUUGUCCGGAAUCAUUGGGCGUAAAGAGCGCGUAGGCGGUCCGAUAAGUCGGCUGUGAAAGUCAGGGGCUCAACCCUUGAAAGCCGGCCGAUACUGUCGGACUAGAGUUCGGAAGAGGCGAGUGGAAUUCCCGGUGUAACGGUGAAAUGCGCAGAUAUCGGGAGGAACACCAAUGGCGAAGGCAGGUCUCUGGACAGUUCCUGACGCUGAGGCACGAAGGUCAGGGGAGCAAACGGG
rnacentral:rRNA from 1 species